UUAAUUGCUUGAUUUUAAUUCGACAUAGAUCUUAAGCACUGGAGAUACUCAGGGAGCAAGAGACAAACCCACCUGUGGAUAUGAGCUUCCCAAGGGAGAGUCCCCUUGAAGUGUCUGAGUGGUGAUUGUACAAUAGGAUUUUGGAAGCUCUCAAAACCUCAUUGUUGAAUGGGUUUCUAGGGGACUCUCCCCCCGACUCUGUCUAUGUUCCCCUCUUCAAUUACUGAGAGUAUAGGGAAGCUCCAGAGGUUCCUUAGAUAGGAUUACAACCAGAUAGCAUAAAAACAGGAGCCACUAAGGUUGUGCAGGGUCAGAACUUGUCCUGCUGCUGCAAAGGAAUUUCUGGGGAGACUCUGGGAAACUUGAGGCUUACAGCUCGGAUGGGAGAAAAGCCCUAAGCAAAUGUAAUCAUAUUGGAACUCUGAUUGGCAAGAGGCUUCAGUCAGAUUCCAGGAUGGGGUUUCUAUUUCCUUCCCCUGGCCCCAAAACUUUUUCACUGCCUAACCUGCCUCCUGACCACCUUCCAGGCAGUUGAUGCUCCAGUUCCCUUUGAUCAUGUGGUCACUCACCCACCUGUAGUUUUGUGGGACACCAUGUGCCUAUCCCCACAUCAGGUACUUUCCAGUCCAGAACCCUUGCUGCUCUGGACCGGAAUCCAUAGGUCCCUUGAGUCCAGAGUCAGGAAGCAAUUCAGUCAUGUUCGCACGGCUAGGAAGAGGCAGGGGCAGUCCUCAAGUCCUGUGUCCUUGAUGUCGCACUGCUCUUGAGCCUUGUGUGCCCGUGUGUCUGCAGGUCCUGGUUUCCAACCGUCCUGGCACCUGUCACAGUUUAGCAGGUUACCAUGGUAUCGCUACCCAGCACCGGGGCAGCAGGGACCACCAUCUGUUUACACUGCUGUCAGAGGAAUUGAUGUCAUGUGAAACUGUCAGCUCAGCAGGGAGGGAGGAGGAAGAGUGGGCGGCUACAGAAGCUUCCAAGCCAUCUAAACCCAUCUCCAUCAAGAGCCACUGCUCCCGGAGGAAAAUGGAGAAGGGGGAGGGGGGCUGUGAGAGCACUUCCCAAGGGGCAGAAGUGAGUGGCUAUUGUACUAUUCUUCCCAUUUGCUGCAGACACAAUUCACAAGCUCUUGUCGCUCUCACAGCCCCAGGGUGGCUGCCACCAGCCCCUCCUCUUUACAGAUGUUCUAAGGGAUAAAGCAAAGGCUGGAGAGAAGAGGAGCUCUUUCAAGGUCAGAGGAAGUUGGGUCCACUAGGAAUAGCUCCCCAGUUCUCAGACAGCCAGGUCCAGGGAAGCACCAGGAAACUUGCUGUUGGCCACGCCUGUGGAAAGAGGAAGAGGACAGACCAUGAGAAAGACUGGCCAUGAGCCCUGAUGCUGGAUUCCACAGUUCAGCCAUGACCAACGCUUCAACAAGGAGAAAGCAACUGCCCAGGACAGCCUUUCCAAGGGACAGUUCCAGAAGCAUAACCAGAGUGUUGGAGACAAGGGAAGUGGAGAGCAAACAAGACACACCCACCCUCGGGGACAGGAAGAACUUGACCUGCCACAGCCCUCCGUGGGACACCAGUCUUCUACAAAGUCAGGAAAGAUUUCAGGGAGGCUAAGGCAGAGCUGAAACCAACAGUUACUUGAGUCUUCGUUGACAAGAGGGGAGAGUGUUAUAGAAGUCUUCAGGAGACAAGUGGAGAAGUUUCCCAGUGGGCGGAAGUGUCCCACCUUGACAAAAUUCCUCAGGGCAAUCCUGGCCAUCACUUCCUCCUCCUCUCCACUCCCCACAUCUAAGAAGCGGGCGCGUAAAUGGAGCUGUAAUUAAUAUGCAGUCGGCAAAGGCUAAUUAAGAAUUUAUUUUUGCUCCUUGACUAAUGACAGUUUGAAGUCUGUUUUCUCGUUUUCCUGGUUGGCGACACAGAGUCCCCAAAGUCCUCUGUCGUGAGUCAGGAGGCCCUGGUUGGAGCUGCAAACAGGAAUUAGUCAUCGCAGAAGCCAACUGCACGUCCCCGGGUCAUCUGCGUCCACCGGCAGUGAAGACAAACUCACACAGGCAGCUCCCAGCUUCCUCUCGGCUCGCUCCUUUCCUGGUCUACUCCACCUCGAGCACUGAGACGCCGCCGUCUUCCAGAACUAUCUUAGAUUACCUCCCUUGCCCACACCUCCCCGUCCCAGCCUGAGCCAAGGCUGCAGGCUGCAUCACGCUCUUGCCAUCUGCCCACUUCCAGCCACAUCCCCAUCUUCUCCCGGCUUCAAGCUGCCAUCUCAUCUUAGCCAGAGCUCUACACGGAUCUUGCCCCAUCCUCCCUAUGCCUGACAGUGAGUUUUCCCCAAAUAUAAAGCAGAACACUUAAAAUAUUAACCAAAGCUCCACUGGUUCCACAUGGGACUAAGAACAGAGGCCUGCUCCGUCCAGCAGCCGCUAACCCAGUCCUCCCACUCUUCUCACUAAACACAGCUCCAUCGCUGCCUGUACGGUGUCACAACUUCAGGACCUUUCUGUUUCUCUGCCACACUUUCUCUUACUUUUAAAGUCUUUAAGCCUUACUGCAGCUGCCUCCUCCUUUCUCAGGUGCUGGUUCUGGUGUCUCUUUCCUCAGAAGACAGGCUCCCCGACUGUACCCUGUAAAGCGAGCCUCUCUGUCCCACAGCUCUGUGAUGUACAAAUGUGCCAAAGAUAGCCUAGCCCUGUGGAUUGGUCCCAAGGUUGUUUCCUCGCAGCAGGCUGAGUCUAGUUAAUUCAAAAACCCACAGUGGAAAACUCAAAUGGCUACGCAUCUACUUGUUUUUAGAAUAGCUCACUAAAGAAACAUUUUCAUUUACUCUGGACCGGAAGCUAUGCAUAUUCCAUAAAACUAUACCUUCUUCUGCUGGAUAUUAACAAAAAUAACUUAUAAGUCUCAGGGCUCUACUGCCUCUGGGGAAAACUGACACCAAGGCCCUGAUGUAUCCUGAAGCAACAUCACCUGGAUAUGUCAACAUCACCUGGAUAUGUCCACGUAGCCUCCAGCGCCUCAGCUUUUAGGGUUCUCUUGUCCUCCGCCACUUUUGGGUGGUAGCUCCUUGAACAAAACUUCUUUUAAAAGCCCCGAGGCUAUCCCAUCCCCCUCCCCUCUAUCAGCCACGCUAAACCAUUUCCC